GAUGAAGAACGCAGCGAAAUGCGAUACGUAAUGUGAAUUGCAGAAUUCAGUGAAUCAUCGAAUCUUUGAACGCAUAUUGCGCUCUUUGGCAUUCCGAAGAGCAUGCUUGUUUGAGUAUCAGUAAAACACUCAAAUCUUUUUUUUUUUUCUUGAAAAAGAUUUGGUUUUGAGUUCUCCUAACGAAAGAGAAAAACAAACUCUCUUUUGGCAGGUCACUUAAAAUUCAGGUGCAGCUGAACAUUCUUCUGAGCUAAAAGCAUAUCUAUUUAGUCCUAAUUAAAUUAGGAUUAUUACUUUUUUUGCUGCAGCUAACAUAAAGGUUGAUUGUUUCAAUGACUGAUGCAGGAAUUUAUCAGUGGAAGCGUUUGAAAAAGCGUAGAAACUGUGGAUCUCGAUCUCAAAUCAAGUAAGACUACCCGCUGAACUUAAGCAUAUCAAUAAGCGGAGGA
rnacentral:misc_RNA from 1 species